AAUGGCUGCAGUAAUUUGACUGUACAAAGGUAGCAUAAUCAUUAGUUUUUUAAUUAAAAGCUUGUAUGAAGGGUUGGACGAGAUAAAAUCUGUCUCUUUUUAAAAAAAUUAGAAUUUUAUUUUUAAGUUAAAAAGCUUAAAUUUUUAUAAAAGACGAGAAGACCCUAUAGAGUUUUAUAAUUUAAAUUUAUUAAUUAAUUUAGAUUUAUUAAUUUUAUUUUGUUUAAAUUAUUUUAUUGGGGUAAUAAAAAGAUUAAAAAAAUUCUUUUUUAAAUAAAUCAUUAAUAUAUGAAAAUUUUAUGAUCCAUUAAGUUUUGAGUAUAAGAUUAAAUUACCUUAGGGAUAACAGCGUAAUUUUUUUUUAGAGUUCUUAUCGAUAAAAAAGUUUGCGACCUCGAUGUUGGAUUAAAGAUUAGUUUAGGUGUAGAAGUUUAAAUUUUUGGUCUGUUCGACCAUUGAAUCUUUACAUGAUCUGAGUUCAAACCGGUGUAAGCCAGGUUGGUUUCUAUCUUUAUAAUAGUUUUAUAUUUUAGUACGAAAGGACCAAGUAUAAAGUAUUUUAAUACUUAAUUUAUUGAAUAUU
rnacentral:rRNA from 1 species